UUAAGUUAGAAAGGGCGCACGGUGGAUGCCUUGACACUAGGAGUCGAUGAAGGACGGGACUAACGCCGAUAUGCUUCGGGGAGCUGUAAGUAAGCUUUGAUCCGAAGAUUUCCGAAUGGGGAAACCCACCAUACGUAAUGGUAUGGUAUCCUUAUCUGAAUACAUAGGGUAAGGAAGACAGACCCAGGGAACUGAAACAUCUAAGUACCUGGAGGAAGAGAAAGCAAAUGCGAUUUCCUGAGUAGCGGCGAGCGAAACGGAACAUAGCCCAAACCAAGAGGCUUGCCUCUUGGGGUUGUAGGACAUUCUAUACGGAGUUACAAAGGAACGAGGUAGACGAAGCGACCUGGAAAGGUCCGUCGUAGAGGGUAACAACCCCGUAGUCGAAACUUCGUUCUCUCUUGAAUGUAUCCUGAGUACGGCGGAACACGUGAAAUUCCGUCGGAAUCUGGGAGGACCAUCUCCCAAGGCUAAAUACUCCCUAGUGAUCGAUAGUGAACCAGUACCGUGAGGGAAAGGUGAAAAGCACCCCGGAAGGGGAGUGAAAGAGAUCCUGAAACCGUGUGCCUACAAAUAGUCAGAGCCCGUUAACGGGUGAUGGCGUGCCUUUUGUAGAAUGAACCGGCGAGUUACGAUCCCGUGCGAGGUUAAGCUGAAGAGGCGGAGCCGCAGCGAAAGCGAGUCUGAAUAGGGCGUUUAGUACGUGGUCGUAGACCCGAAACCAGGUGAUCUACCCAUGUCCAGGGUGAAGUUCAGGUAACACUGAAUGGAGGCCCGAACCCACGCACGUUGAAAAGUGCGGGGAUGAGGUGUGGGUAGCGGAGAAAUUCCAAUCGAACCUGGAGAUAGCUGGUUCUCCCCGAAAUAGCUUUAGGGCUAGCCUUAAGUGUAAGAGUCUUGGAGGUAGAGCACUGAUUGGACUAGGGGUCCUCAUCGGAUUACCGAAUUCAGUCAAACUCCGAAUGCCAAUGACUUAUCCUUAGGAGUCAGACUGCGAGUGAUAAGAUCCGUAGUCAAAAGGGAAACAGCCCAGACCGCCAGCUAAGGUCCCAAAGUGUGUAUUAAGUGGAAAAGGAUGUGGAGUUGCUUAGACAACUAGGAUGUUGGCUUAGAAGCAGCCACCAUUUAAAGAGUGCGUAAUAGCUCACUAGUCGAGUGACUCUGCGCCGAAAAUGUACCGGGGCUAAAUACACCACCGAAGCUGCGGAUUGAUACCAAUGGUAUCAGUGGUAGGGGAGCGUUCUAAGGACAGUGAAGUCAGACCGGAAGGACUGGUGGAGUGCUUAGAAGUGAGAAUGCCGGUAUGAGUAGCGAAAGACGGGUGAGAAUCCCGUCCACCGAAUGCCUAAGGUUUCCUGAGGAAGGCUCGUCCGCUCAGGGUUAGUCAGGACCUAAGCCGAGGCCGACAGGCGUAGGCGAUGGACAACAGGUUGAUAUUCCUGUACCACCUCUUUAUCGUUUGAGCAAUGGAGGGACGCAGAAGGAUAGAAGAAGCGUGCGAUUGGUUGUGCACGUCCAAGCAGUUAGGCUGAUAAGUAGGCAAAUCCGCUUAUCGUGAAGGCUGAGCUGUGAUGGGGAAGCUCCUUAUGGAGCGAAGUCUUUGAUUCCCCGCUGCCAAGAAAAGCUUCUAGCGAGAUAAAAGGUGCCUGUACCGCAAACCGACACAGGUAGGCGAGGAGAGAAUCCUAAGGUGUGCGAGAGAACUCUGGUUAAGGAACUCGGCAAAAUGACCCCGUAACUUCGGGAGAAGGGGUGCUUUCUUAACGGAAAGCCGCAGUGAAUAGGCCCAAGCGACUGUUUAGCAAAAACACAGCUCUCUGCGAAGCCGUAAGGCGAAGUAUAGGGGGUGACACCUGCCCGGUGCUGGAAGGUUAAGGAGAGGGGUUAGCGUAAGCGAAGCUCUGAACUGAAGCCCCAGUAAACGGCGGCCGUAACUAUAACGGUCCUAAGGUAGCGAAAUUCCUUGUCGGGUAAGUUCCGACCCGCACGAAAGGUGUAACGAUUUGGGCACUGUCUCAACCAGAGACUCGGUGAAAUUAUAGUACCUGUGAAGAUGCAGGUUACCCGCGACAGGACGGAAAGACCCCGUGGAGCUUUACUGUAGCCUGAUAUUGAAUUUUGGUACAGUUUGUACAGGAUAGGCGGGAGCCUUUGAAACCGGAGCGCUAGCUUCGGUGGAGGCGCUGGUGGGAUACCGCCCUGACUGUAUUGAAAUUCUAACCUACGGGUCUUAUCGACCCGGGAGACAGUGUCAGGUGGGCAGUUUGACUGGGGCGGUCGCCUCCUAAAGUGUAACGGAGGCGCCCAAAGGUUCCCUCAGAAUGGUUGGAAAUCAUUCGUAGAGUGCAAAGGCAUAAGGGAGCUUGACUGCGAGACCUACAAGUCGAGCAGGGACGAAAGUCGGGCUUAGUGAUCCGGUGGUUCCGCAUGGAAGGGCCAUCGCUCAACGGAUAAAAGCUACCCCGGGGAUAACAGGCUUAUCUCCCCCAAGAGUCCACAUCGACGGGGAGGUUUGGCACCUCGAUGUCGGCUCAUCGCAUCCUGGGGCUGUAGUCGGUCCCAAGGGUUGGGCUGUUCGCCCAUUAAAGCGGUACGCGAGCUGGGUUCAGAACGUCGUGAGACAGUUCGGUCCCUAUCCGUCGUGGGCGUAGGAAAUUUGAGAGGAGCUGUCCUUAGUACGAGAGGACCGGGAUGGACGCACCGCUGGUGUACCAGUUGUUCUGCCAAGGGCAUAGCUGGGUAGCUAUGUGCGGAAGGGAUAAGUGCUGAAAGCAUCUAAGCAUGAAGCCCCCCUCAAGAUGAGAUUUCCCAUAGCGUUUCGAUCAUUCUAGGGACUUUCUACUAGUCCAACUAUCCAAGCUCCACCUUCGUACCACUGUACACCUCGACUGCUUAUGAUUAUCUAGCUCCUGAAUUGGUAUAUUAUACAUCGUUACAAUAGAUCAAAACUUCCUUAUACGGAAGUAUCAAACCACUACUACCGUCUCUCCAGUGUGGGCAA
rnacentral:rRNA from 1 species